rfam:Bacillus sp. SA1-12 scf7180000003360, whole genome shotgun sequence.
CAAAAGUGUACAUACUUAGGUUGACAUUUAUACUGAAACUAUCUCACCAAUACUCCUGCAUGCGUCAUAGUAGACAGAACUAUGGGGUGUGAAGCCAGGUAGAUUCGGCAGAACAAUGCUAACCCUCCUUCUCUCAAGUAGGUAUUCUACGGAUAUGCCGCGUGGCUGAAAA